UACAGAGGGUGCGAGCGUUGUUCGGAAUUAUUGGGCGUAAAGGGCGCGUAGGCGGUGCGGUAAGUCACCUGUGAAAUCUCCCGGCUCAACUGGGAGCUUGCAGGCGAAACUGCCGUGCUGGAGUGUGGGAGAGGUGCGUGGAAUUCCUGGUGUAGCGGUGAAAUGCGCAGAUAUCAGGAGGAACACCGGUGGCGAAGGCGGGUCUCUGGGCCGAUACUGACGCUGAGGAGCGAAAGCGUGGGGAGCGAACAGG
rnacentral:rRNA from 1 species